UGUUAUAAAUUUCAUCCUUUUCUAUUAUUAAGAACUAAUAUGACUGACAGAAAAACCAAAUAAUGACAUGUGUACCUCAUGUCAACGUACAAGAACCAAUUUUUAACAAUAAAAAUAGAUAAAAUCUUUAACA
rnacentral:pre_miRNA from 1 species